AGAAUCAACGCUGGCGGCGUGCCUAACACAUGCAAGUCGAACGCGAAAGCCCCGCAAGGGGUAAGUAGAGUGGCAAACGGGUGAGUAACACGUGGGUGACCUGCCUUCGAGUGGGGGAUAACGUCCCGAAAGGGACGCUAAUGCCGCAUAACAUCCUGCCUUUUAAGAGGUGGACAUCAAAGCUGGGGACCGCAAGGCCUGGCGCUCGAAGAGGGGCCCGCGCCUGAUUAGCUAGUUGGUGGGGUAAUGGCUCACCAAGGCAUCGAUCAGUA
rnacentral:rRNA from 1 species